rnacentral:rRNA from 1 species
UACGUAGGGGCGAGCGUUGUCCGGAUUUACUGGGCGUAAAGGGUGAGUAGGCGGUUAUAUAUGUCAGGUGUAAAAAGCUAUGGCUUAACCAUAGUAAGCACUUGAAACUGUAUGACUUGAGUGCAGGAGAGGUAAGCGGAAUUCCUAGUGUAGCGGUGAAAUGCGUAGAUAUUAGGAGGAACACCGGUGGCGAAGGCGGCUUACUGGACUGUAACUGACGCUGAGUCACGAAAGCGUGGGUAGCAAACAGGAUUAGAUACCCCGGUAGUCCCUGAG